UGGUAUGAGGUGACUGAGGUGAUAUU
rnacentral:piRNA from 1 species